rnacentral:rRNA from 1 species
UGAGUAACCUGCCCUUAACUCUGGGAUAAGCCUGGGAAACUGGGUCUAAUACCGGAUAUGACUCCUCAUCGCAUGGUGGGGGGUGGAAAGCUUUUUGUGGUUUUGGAUGGACUCGCGGCCUAUCAGCUUGUUGGUGAGGUAAUGGCUUACCAAGGCGACGACGGGUAGCCGGCCUGAGAGGGCGAUCGGCCACACUGGGACUGAGACACGGCCCAGACUCCUACGGGAGGCAG